rnacentral:ncRNA from 1 species
AAAGGGCAAACCCGGGGAAACCCGGGGGCGCAAAGCCACGGGCCCUCGCGCCCCGCCUGGGGCGAAGGGUGGCCGGGCUGCCGAA